ACUCCUACGGGAGGCAGCAGUGGGAAUAUUGCACAAUGGGCGCAAGCCUGAUGCAGCCAUGCCGCGUGUGUGAAGAAGGCCUUCGGGUUGUAAAGCACUUUCAGUCAGUGAGGAAUGUAGUGUAGUUUGAAUAGCUGCAUUAUUUGACGUUUAGCGAACAGAAGAAGCACCGGCUAACUCCGUGCCAGCAGCCGCGGUAAUACGGAGGGUGCGAGCGUUAAUCGGAAUUACUGGGCGUAAAGCGU
rnacentral:rRNA from 1 species